rnacentral:tRNA from 1 species
GGUCAGGUAGCCUAGCGGUUAAGGCAGCCCAUGCGUGUUGGGUCCAUCCAAUUGGAUCUGGUCGCUGGUUCGAAUCCAGCCCCGACCA